rnacentral:rRNA from 1 species
UACAGAGGGUGCGAGCGUUGUUCGGAAUUACUGGGCGUAAAGCGCACGCAGGCGGCUCGAUAAAUUAGAAGUGAAAGCCCCGGGCUUAACCUGGGAAUUGCUUUUAAGACUGUCGGGCUAGAAUCCAGAAGAGGGUAGUGGAAUUCCGAGUGUAGAGGUGAAAUUCGUAGAUAUUCGGAAGAACACCAGUGGCGAAGGCGACUACCUGGUCUGGCAUUGACGCUCAUGUGCGAAAGCGUGGGGAGCAAACAGG